AUGGCAAACUGCUUAGUAACACAUGAUCAACUUACCCUAUGGAGAAAUAUAAUCUCGGGAAACUGAGGAUAAUUUUUCAUAGUUGAAUAGGCUUGGAAAAGUUUUUCAAUGAAAGGGAUAAGAAAAAUGGUUCUUAUCUGCCAUAGGAUAGGAUCGUGGUCGAUUAUGGUUGUUGGUGAGGUAACGGCUCACCAAGCCGAUAAUCGAUAGGGGCCGUGAGAGCGGGAGCCCCAAGAUGGGUACUGAGACAGCGACCCAGGCCUUACGAGGCGCAGCAGGUACGAAACCUCCGCAAUACACGAAAGUGUGACGGGGUUACCCAAAGUGUUCUCUAUUGAACUGUGGCAGGUGAGUAAUGUCCCCUGCUAGAAAGGAGAGGGCAAGGCUGGUGCCAGCCGCCGCGGUAAAACCAGCUCUUCAAGUGGUCGGGAUAAUUAUUGGGCUUAAAGUGUCCGUAGCCGGUUUAGUAAGUUCCUGGUAAAAUCGGGUAGCUUAACUAUCUGUAUGCUAGGAAUACUGCUAUACUAGAGGGCGGGAGAGGUCUGAGGUACUACAGGGGUAGGGGUGAAAUCUUAUAAUCCUUGUAGGACCACCAGUGGCGAAGGCGUCAGACUGGAACGCGCCUGACGGUGAGGGACGAAAGCCAGGGGAGCGAACCGGAUUAGAUACCCGGGUAGUCCUGGCCGUAAACGAUGCAUACUAGGUGAUGGUACGGCCAUGAGCCGUGUCAGUGCCGUAGGGAAACCGUUAAGUGUGCCGCCUGGGAAGUACGGUCGCAAGGCUAAAACUUAAAGGAAUUG
rnacentral:rRNA from 1 species